rnacentral:rRNA from 1 species
ACUCAAAUGAAUUGACGGGGACCCGCACAAGCGGUGGAACAUGUGGUUUAAUUCGAUGCUACGCGAAGAACCUCACCAAGGCUUGACAUGCUCGUCGUACCCUGAUGAAAGUCGGGGGUCAUUUAGUUGGACGAUGCACAGGUGCUGCAUGGCUGUCGUCAGCUCGUGUCGUGAGAUGUUGGGUUAAGUCCCGCAACGAGCGCAACCAUUGCCCUAUGUUGCUACCUUCAUUAACUUACGUAAGUAAGCGUGGAGCGCACUCUUAGGGGACUGCCCGGGAUAACCGGGAGGAAGGUGGAGAUGACGUCAAGUCAGUACGGCCCUUAUGCCUUGGGCUACACACGUGUUACAAUGCACAGUACAAAGGGUUGCCAACCCGCGAGGGGGAGCUAAUCUCAAAAAGCUGUGCCCAGUUCGGAUUAGAGUCUGCAAUUCGACUCUAUGAAGCCGGAAUCGCUAGUAAUGGAAGAUCAGCUCGCUUCCGUGAAUACGUUCCCGGGUCUUGUACACACCGCCCGU